UGAUAUUUUUAAAAUUAGUAUCAUACACAAUACUGGGCUAGACUCUGGCUGGCUACAUAUAAAAAUUCAGACUUCAAAAAAGGGCGAAUUAAAGAGUAAUUAUUCACUUUAAAGAAAGAUGCUUUUCUCUACAAAUGUUUUAGUCUCAGACUCCCUUUGAAUGGCAAAUUUUCCUUGUGAUUUUAAAAAAUGCGAUUUUAUUUCCAAAAAUUCAGUUUAGGCAUAACUUUUCAGGGGUACAUUUUAGAUGAAUUAUGCUUGUUGUAAGUGUUAAACGCAGUCUUUGCCCACAAAAUAAGUAAGGCAAGCUGAAGUUGAAAAUAAUUCCUGUGGAAGAGAUAACAAACUCCUGGCAAUAAAAUUCAGCUCUGUUCUAGAUGAAAAUAAACGUGGAGAGUGAGAUACCUUACUAUUUCAAAAAGUUCCAAGGCCUGAGCUUCUGGGUUAUCCAAGGUGAAAGAAGUCAUGAAAAAAUGAAGAGAGAUAAAGACUGAAUGUGAUAGAUUGUGCACCUGAGGCUGUUUCUUCAAAAUCAUGGAACCUUAAGACCAACUUUCCAUGCAAUUUUCUUAAUACCAAUUCACAGCAUGUACUUUAAUUUCUCCACAGAAGCCAAAUGCAUUAUUCUCUGGUCAUACUCUAUUAACCAAGUUUUUGAUUAUUCAUGGGACUUUGGUCCCAUUUUACUUUAAAUAAUCAGCACUUUCCUUUAUACUUACAGUUAAAAGGUUGCAUUAUACCUAAUGAUAAUCAGUUUUUAGAAGGUUAAAAUGGUAUUUAUUCUUUAAUCUUCCAGAUAAAUAUAUAACUCCUUGGAGUCUUUCUGACUACAGAGAUUUCUGAGUUGAUUGUGACUUUUGGAGGAGCAGGGAGAGAAAGUAUCUGUGACUCCGUCAUUCUUCUGCCACUGAUAUAGGUUUUUUCCCUAAAAUUGGAAAAUAUUGGGCAGCCCGGGUGGAUCAGCGGUUUAGCACCUGCCUUCAGCCCAGGGCGUUAUCUUGGAGACCCGGAAUCGAGUCCCACAUCGGGCUCCCUGCAUGGAGACUGCUUCUCCCUCUGCCUGUGUCUCUGCCUCUUUCUCUCUCUCUCUCUCUCUCUCUCUCUCUCUCUCUGUGUGUGUCUCUCAUGAAUAAAUAAAUAAAAUAUUUAUUUUUUAAAAAA
rnacentral:lncRNA from 1 species